UACGGAGGGUGCAAGCGUUGUUCGGAUUUACUGGGCGUAAAGCGCGAGCAGGUGGGCGGGCAAGUCCUGUGUGCAAUCUUCCGGCUCAACCGGAAAACUGCAUGGGAAACUACCCGUCUUGAGUGCGAGAGAGGAUGGCGGAAUUCCUGGUGUAGCGGUGAAAUGCGUAGAUAUCAGGAGGAACACCGGUGGCGAAGGCGGCCAUCUGGCUCGACACUGACGCUCAUUCGCGAAGGUCGGGGGAGCAAACAGG
rnacentral:rRNA from 1 species